AUGGUUAGCUGGCCGGACAUCUGCAAGGCCCGGGAACAGGGAGGCAUCGGUAUCAUGUUCUCUAAACGCAUGAAUAUUGCCCUCCUCACCCGCUGGCUCUGGCGCAUUUCGCAAGGGCAUGGUAGUCUUUGGCUCGACAUCAUCUGGAACAAGUACCUGCGAGGACAGCCCCUGGCCUUUUGUCAAAGAUCUGGCGGUUCCGAGUUUUGGCAAUUGGUCAUCCAACUGCUACCCGUCCUCCGUAUUGGGACCUCCAUCUCGGUUGUAUCGGGUACGACGACGUUGUUCUGGUUCGACCGCUGGGAGGGAGACACCCCCUUUGCGGCCCGCUUCUCCAACCUCUUCUCCAUCGCUAUUGCCCCCUUGAUCUCAGUUGAGAGGGCCCUUAUUGACUUAGGGCGCCUCGCCUUCCGGAGGCCAUUUGGGCCUCCGGAAGCUGCCGCGUGGUUGAGCUGCUUGAUUGCGUCGCUCUCCACGAGCCGGUGGUGGAUGCUGGCCCGGACGAGGUGCGGUGGCGUCUUGAGCCUUCGUGCCAAUUCUCCACCAAGUCCCUUUACACGACCAUCGCCCCUCCUCCACUCCCCCCUCCCUGUGGUUUGGUCCAUCCGACUGCUACUGAAAAUUCGGAUAUUCAUGUGGUAA
rnacentral:rRNA from 1 species